AGAGAGAGAGACACAAGAAAGAGAACAUCAGAGACCGGAUAAAGGAAGAGACAAUACGUUCAUCACUGUGAGGACUUGAAAAAGCAAACUGCACUUUUGAAAAAAGCAUUUUUGUUAAUGAUGCCAGUCAGAGGACUGCGUUGACUUUCUUUAUCACUUGUUAUUAGAUCAUUUGCUGAGCUCUACAUUGAUGCCUAUAAUCACAAUGUGUGUUGAGGUCUAUUUGUGACAUUGUUCAACAGAAUAGCCAAGAGAGGGAAUAAACUAGAGGAAGCUAUCAGGCUGUCCACACCACGUCUCUCCACCCUGGAUAACAUGGAGCUACUUUAUGUAUUUGUGGCUUUGCUCUUCAGUACCAAGUCCUCCGAUGGAGUCACAGUACAGCAGAAACAGCCAGAGAUGUUCACAGGGACUGAGUCCGAAACCCUGCACUGUGAACACGACGAUGCUAACCACUACAAUAUGUACUGGUACAGGCAGGACAGUGGCAGAGGAAUGCGUUUGAUCGCGUAUUCUUUAGGCAAAGACGAUGCAACAAUAGAGCCGCCCUUCAACGCAUCCAAAUACACGAUGGAGCGUCCUGAAGUGAAGAAGUCGUCUCUGCAGAUAAAGGAUUUGGCGGUGGGGGACUCGGCUGUGUAUUUCUGCGCCUCUAGUAUUGCACGCUAACCCAGAACAGCGACGCUACACGACAAUAACCCCUAUUAACCACAUACUGUACACCCUGCUGGAGGGAGG